UACGUAGGGCGCAAGCGUUGUCCGGAAUCAUUGGGCGUAAAGCGCGCGUAGGUGGUCAUGUAAGUCCGCUGUGAAAGUCAAAGGCUCAACCUUUGAAAGCCGGUGGAUACUGCAUGACUAGAGUACGGAAGAGGCGAGUGGAAUUCCUGGUGUAGCGGUGGAAUGCGCAGAUAUCAGGAGGAACACCAAUAGCGAAGGCAGCUCGCUGGGACGUUACUGACACUGAGGCGCGAAAGCGUGGGAGCGAACAGG
rnacentral:rRNA from 1 species